rnacentral:rRNA from 1 species
UGGGGGAUAUUGCACAAUGGGCGAAAGCCUGAUGCAGCGACGCCGCGUGGGGGAUGAAGGCCUUCGGGUUGUAAACUUCUUUUGCUCUGAACAAGGCAUGCUAAUGGGUGUGUUGAGUGUAGGGGUUGAUUAGCGCCGGCUAACUACGUGCCAGCAGCCGCGGUAAUACGUAGGGCGCGAGCGUUGUCCGGAAUUAUUGGGCGUAAAGGGCUUGUAGGUGGCUGGUUGCGUCUGUCGUGAAAGCUCAUGGCUUAACUGUGGGUUUGCGGUGGGUACGGGCUGGCUUGAGUGCAGUAGGGGAGGCUGGAAUUCCUGGUGUAGAGGUGGAAUGCGCAGAUAUCAGGAGGAAUACCGGUGGCGAAGGCGGGUCUCUGGGCUGUUACUGACACUGAGGAGCGAAAGCAUGGGGAGCGAACAGG